rnacentral:tRNA from 1 species
GAUUUUAUGGUGUAAUGGUGAGCACUCUGGACUUGGAAUCCAGAAUUAACAAUCAGACAUCUGCAAUUUUUUAGAGGCA